rnacentral:lncRNA from 1 species
AAUUGUUGAAAUGGUUAAAUCAAGAAGAUGAGUCAUACUUCGUUCCAAUACAAGUCUUAGAGUCAUACUCCAAGAUUGUCAUUUGAGUGACAUGUCUUAAAGAAGGUUUAAAACACUUGUCAAAUGUAAGAGUAAAAGUUUUCUACUCUUGUACAUUUGAAAUUGGUAAGUUGUGAUGUUUUGGAUAAAACAAAGACCAACUUAGGCCAAUUGGGUAAAGUGUUUUUCUUGAUUAGAAUCCGCACUAUCUCUUGGAUGUUUGACAAGGGAGUCUUAUAUGUCAAGAGGACAGUGGGAGUCUUAAAGGUCUUGAAAGUCUCAAGAAAUAAUCAAGAAUAAAACCUAAAGUUCUUCACUAGCACACGACUUGAGGUUUAUAACCUAUCGUGUUGACAUAUCUGUGCCCAUUCCAGUUAAAGUUGGCUUUGCAUAUGAGUUCUUAGAGUUCUCAGUUUGUUGCAUAACAACUUGGAAGCAAUGGCAGGCCCUUGAGCUGCCAGGUGGCAAGAAGUUAAGAUUGAGUUCAAUCCAUAUGGUUUUGGAUUUGUCAUUAUCUUUGUCUUGUGAUUAUGGUUUGACAAAUUCAUAUGGGUAGGAACUCAUACACCAUAUAAAUCUAAGUGUCAUAAGGUUUCUCUCCGAUUCAUGAAAAUGAUGGUGAGGAAACGCUUUCACUAAGUAGAUUUUACGAAGAUAUCAAUUGUGUUAUUUGCAUUUUCAAAAGUCGUUAGUGGAGCGCGUGUGGUUAACCGGCACACUAACAUGGACUUGUGAGAAAUGGCAAAUGCCUAAGCAAUUGAGACCAUGAUUACGGUAUCCCUUUUCAUGGUUCUUGAAAUUGCUUAGACACACAGGUGAGCUAUCUACGGAAAGGGUGUAUGAAUCUAAAUUUCAGACUGUCCAGCUGAUUUCUGAGUACAUGUCAAAGCUAGUGGGAGCAUAAGUGUUAUGCUAAUAAUCAUCAUGUUAGUGGGAGCAUGAUAAUUAUGAUAAGUAUUGCAAGUUAGCAAUGUUAAUUAUAGAAAACAAAAGUUUCAAUUGGGAAAAAGUUGUUUUGCUAUAAUUAAGGGAGAGGAAAUUAUGCUUCAUCUCAAAUCUAUAAGCUUAGAUCGUGAGGUUUUAAUCAUUUAGUCAAGGAUAUAUAUGAAUUUCAUGUUGGAAUGGCUCAACAUAAGGAAAUUCUGUAUAUGGGUCCAUUAUUUGCGUUCUAAAAUUCGAUUAUGAUUACGGCAUCCCUUUUCAUAAUCUGAAUUAUGAGAACUUGGCAAAUUGAAAUGGAAAUAUUAUAGCAAAAGACUGGUUUAGUCUUUAUGUAAGACAUCAUGAAUCGUGUCCCAUAUGCUUCGGAUAUAGGAUCGAUUACAUGUGCUAUAUUCAUCCGUUCUAAAAUUUUCCAAAUGCCUGGGGCAUUAAGAAGGGAAAAGGUUUAGAACUGGAUAUGACUAAAAGGAUUAAACAAUUGUCGAGGACAAUCUAAGGUUUACCAAAGAUUGGUUACUCAAGGACAAUUGGAAGUAUAGUGAUAAUUCUGGAAGGACCAUAUUGACAUAAUCUGUAAGGAGGCAACUCUUGUUCAGAAGUGAUAGUCAAAAUGGAAUCUGGAAAUGUUUCAAAGUUAGAAUUUUCAAUCUGUGUAAGAUUAAGGAAACUUAAUGCAAGAAGGAUAUUUCCAAGGAGUUGAUCUCCUUUGGAAUACUCUGUAAUGAUUGUUGCCAAGUCUUUGUGACUUUGUGCAUAAUCAUUACAAGAGGAUCAAUGCAUAUAAGUUUAGAAUCUAACAGAUUUCAGUAAAUGGCAUGAAUUUGGAAUUCUUGCAUUUGCAGUAAGGAUUUGGGAGUGUGAAAAGAGAAUCAUUGAAGUUAUGUUCAAUUGAUCUAGUUCACAAAGUAAAGAUCAUAGACAAACAUAGUAUGCAUACUUGGUGUGUGGCAUGACUAGUGUUUAAGAAAACAUAGUGUACAUGCUUGGAGCAUGGGACAACUAUUGUUUUAAAUUCAAGAAUAAAGUUGAUAGCUGAAACAGUAUACAAUGAAUAAUGUGUAAUCAUAUGGUGAUAAAUAAAAGGUGUUUUAUUUAUGUUCAAAGGGUUGAUACCAUAUUGGAUUCAAUUAUUAUUGUGUUUCACUUUGCAUGUUUUGACUUCCCGAAUAAACUAGGUUAUUCUUCCGGAAUGACUAAGUUAUUCAAACCAUCCACAGUCGGUCAUAUGUUGGAAGUAGAUAUGAAUUAAGACUGUCAUGGGUUGGCUUGUAGAGGUCUAAGGUGUUGGACAAAGGGCUACAACACUCAUGAGUGCUCAUAAGUUCUGAGUAUUGGAUUCAACCCGCGCUCAUUGGAAUCACUUCAUGGAUUUUAUCACGAGUGAUCAUGAGACGAUAAUAUCUUAUAUUCUUCAAACCUAGAGAUAUGAGUUGUUACUAUGAGUUGGUUGUACAUUGAUUGCACGAAAACGCAUUUGGUAACUCGGUGCUAUAAAACGUGCCUUUGUGUAUGAUUCAACAAGUAGUAGAACAAGCCAUAUGAGUCGAAGUUUAUCCAUUCCUUUUACCUUCGGGAUAAAAGCGAUAUCUGUGGGCCCCUCGAUGAUUUGAUGAUGACAAAUGGAAGUGCUCGGCCGGGCCAGGACUGAUUUGAUUUGUUCAAUUAGUCAGUCGUCAUAAAUCGGAAAUCGGGAAACAACAAAUGGACAGAGAGAAUGAUUAUAAUCCAUGUCUCAGUCCAUAUGAUAUCUAGAAUGGAGGAAUAUAUGAUCCCUUAUCUAAUGGACAAGUUCGUUGACAAGAUCAGAGUUCGACAGCAGCUUUAAGAGCUACGAUUGCCAGUUAGGUUUGAAGUCAUACGCAAUAAUAGUUUUAGACUUAUCCAAGUGGGAGACUGUUGGAUUAAUGUCUAAGUCCAUAACUAUAUUUGGUAUGUACUUGACCCGACCCGGCAUGGUCCAUUUGGGUUGCACUUCACCGACACAAUUUAUAUGGAUAAUCUUUUGAGAAUAGUAUGUUUAUGAUUAAUAUUAAUAUAUUAUAAGUUCUAAUAUAUUAAUAUGGAAUCAUAUUAUUUAAUUAGUAUUGAUCAAGAAUUAAUUUAGAAUUAAUUAAGUGAUCAAAAUGAACUAAUUAAAUAUGGACUCUUAUAUAUAUGGAAUGGGCCAAGUUCAUUUAGGUUGGGCUAAGCUUUCAUGGAUAGUCCAUGGAGUGUUUAACCCAUGGAUCCUAGGAAAUGAAAGGUCAUGGGUAUUAGGGUUUAACCCUAAUCCUCCAUACUAUAUAAAGAUGUCUUUGGUUGGUGAAAUUGGCACUAGUGUGGAUACACUAAAGAAGGGCUAGCCAAUUUCACUAGAGAGAACCAAGUAAUCAUAUUCUCUAAAGUAUUCCAAGGUGUCUUGGUGAUUUGUGAUUCCACUUGAGGCUUCCACACUAUUGGGGCUAAGCUCUUAAAGCUUGAAGACAUCAAGCUACAUCAAGAGGUAUGUAUUCUAUCUUGUUACAUUCAUAGUUUUGUAUGCUAGAUUAGGAUAAUACCUUGGAUGUUCUUAUUUGCAUGUAUAAUAGAGAAAAGAUAGAUCCAAGGUAUUUAGGGUUGCAUGUACACUUAGGAGUGUUAGAAUGCUCAAAACCCAACAGUUCUGAGAUUAUGUGUGCUGUUCUCAGACCUUCUGGAUGCAAAGUCAAUCGGUGACUUAUGGUUUUUGUUUUCUUCUCUAUACUCCUGAGCUUAUCUUAAACUAAUUCAUUUUGAAGACAAUCUUUUAUUUCCUUAGAUGUCUUUCUUUAGUAGGAUGUUUUGGGAAGUGAUAUAAAGAUACUGUGAUAACGGGCAGUCUAAAACAUGUGUAAGGGACUGAAUCUGAAUUGUCUAGACUUUGUGUUCAAUGUGUUGGUAGGCACGAAGGAUUUGACAAUGUGGAUUUAGAUAGAAUUGUUUGGACUGCCCAUACGAUGCUUCCGUAGAUUGAGCAGUGAGAUAAACACGGGAACCCACGGGAUACACAAAAUUAAUAUGCAUCUAGAAUAGUGAUUCAACUUUUCUUUGAUGUAUAGACUUAUGUCCUUAAUUCUGGUUCUGAUAGGAUGACUGGGGGAUUCUGAUAAAGUAGGUCUAUAGGAAAUUAUUUUCUUGCUUUCUAUCUGUCUAUCAUAUGUUGCUUCCUCUGCGUGAUUGGAAGAGAUCCGACCUGGAAUGCAACAUAUGCAAUUCUAUUUCUACGCACCUCCUUAUCUAUGAAAUUAUUUCUAUUUGUUAGUCAUAUGUUGUCUCCUCUGCGUGAAUGAAAUGAUCUGACCUGGAACAUAGCAUAUGCAAUAUUCUACCUCUCAAUCCCUCAAUCCUAGUUAGCCAUAUGUUGUCCCCUCUGCGUGAUUGAAAGAGAUCCAGCCUGGGACACAACAUAUGCACCUAUUUCUAAAUCUGACUUCCUCCUUAUUAAUUGUCUAUUCACCUAAAGUAAGGAGUUCUUUGGAAGUUCUUGAUAAUCAGGGUAUAUCGGGAAGUGGGGAACACGUUCUAGUGCAACUAAAAUUGAACCAUUUAGAGUUUGUCUGUAGAUCUCGUUGCUUAAUUUAAGUGGACAACAAUACCCGUGGUCGUCGUCAGCUAAAUGGUUUAUUUAGAAAAAUUUGUUGAUAUCCUUUGUGUUUAAGUGGACCAUAAUACCGACAAUUGACCAGAUCUAUUCAAGAAGGUGAUGGUACUGAUAAACAAAGUUAAGACUAUCUCACAAUUUUGACCCCAAAUAUUUUAGUUUUUCUUAAAUUUGUUCAUUGUUUUCCUCUAUGCACAAAUUUAGGGAGAGAAUCAAAAAUCAAACAAAAAUCAGAAAAUUAAAAAUCAAAAAAUAUUUUUGUUACCGUUUUGUGUGCUAAAUUUUCUUUUAGUUUUGUUUUGUCUUGAAAAGUAAAUUCGGAUGUAUAUGAAACUCAUGGAGUUUGUGUCGAAAAUUUCUGAGCCAAGGUUUCAUCCGUGAGCAUCGAAGAAUUCUCAUUCGAAGGAGCAAGAAAUGAAGAAUAUUCUUCCAACAUUCAAUCUUUCAACCCCAGAAGCAAGGUCAAGCUGUACUUGAAGAUUAUGUGACAGAUUGCAUUGAAGCCUCCUCAAUCAAUUUGCUGCUAUCUUGAGCCUGCUUAAGUGAUCAAGAAGAAUUGGUUUCUCUAUCAUUCUCUCUGAAGAUUCUCAUGUUGAAAGCGCUAUCUUCCAAGAAUCUUGUCAAGAAGCCUUCUCACCCAAUGUGCGUUCAAAUGUCAAAUUCUGAAGAAAAUCCCAACUAUUCAAGAUGAAUUCAUUCAUUGAAGAUUCAUCAAGUUCAUCUUGAAGCUAUAAGAAAUUGAAGAUUAAAGCUGAAGCCAAGCUCCAAAUGAAGAUUGACAAGAAAAGCCAGCUAAUUUUUAAGGGAAGCUUUUUGGGUCAAUUAGAAAAGAAAGCUAUAAACCAAGGGGGAGAUUGUUGGGUCAAAAAUAGUGUUUAUACUUUGCUUUUCUAGGAAAAUGUAUUUUUAUGUCUAGGACCAUAAACAACUCGGUGUUUACGGCUAUAUAUGUAUUUACAGUUGUGUGUACGGCCGCACACGGUUUUACGGUUGUAAACCCGUGUACGACCAACUAUAUAUAGGGUGAGGAGUGCAUGAGAGCAGAAGGCUAGAGAAGGAGAGUAUUUUGUAGAGAGUGAAACUAGAGAGAAGAAUAGUGUGUGUGUGUGUGUGUGUGUGUGUGAAUAUCUUGUAUGGAUCUUCAUUCAUAUCAUCAAUAGAUUAGAUUCAUCUUAUUCUUCUUCUCUUUCUCUUCUAUUUUGAUCUAGCAUCAUCCAUUUGAUUGGGAUUCCGGAUCAUCAAACAGAUCUGAUUGAUACACAACAAGAUUGGGGACUUACAAUCGGGGACCCAAUUUCCCCCUCUUCUUGAAGCGAAUCACACUCUUUUAGGGUGAGACCUUUAGUAGUACCAUGUCACCCACCUAGAACUCCAACUCAGAUCGGCGCCAAUCGACAUAACUCUUCUGCCGACUCUGAGUUGUCUGCAACUGCUGUAUGAUCUGUUGAACCCUCUCGAUAGUCUGCAGUACUACCUCUAUCCAUCCCAUCACUUUGUGACCAACCUCACCCCAACAAACUAGGGUGCAACAUCUCCGUCCAUACAACAGCUCAAAUGGUGGAGUACCAAUACUAGAAUGAAAGUUGUUGUUAUAGGAGAACUCAUCAAGUGGUAGGUAGGAGUCCCAGCUCCAACCGAAGUAAAAAACGUAGGCUCUCAGCAUAUCCUCGAGAGAUUGUAUAGUCUGCUCACUCUGUCUAUCUGUCUACAGAUGAUAAGUUGUACUGAAAUGCAACUGCAUGCCCAGUUCCUCGUGGAACUUCUGCCAGAAACAAGACGUGAAUUCAACAUCACGGUAUGAGACAAUAUAGACCGGUACCCCGUGGCGAGCAAAAAUAUCGCAGAUAUAAAUAUCGGCCAACUUCUCGGCCGAUGAGCUCUCUCGAAUGGGCAGAAAAUGGGCACUCUUGGUCAAUCGAUCCACGAUGACCCAAAUAGCGUCGAAGUCCCUUGCCGUCCUUGGUAGAAUGGUGAUAAAAUCCAUCCUGAUCUGCUCCCAUUUCCACAUGGGAAUCUUUAGAGGCUACAGCUUUCCAUGCAGCCUUUGUUGCUCGGCCUUGACCAUCCAGCAGGUCAAGCGCCUCUCAAAGUACCAUGCGAUCUCCCUCUUCAUGCAUGGCCACCAGUAACUCGGUCGCAAAUCAUGGUACAUCUUGGUGGCCUCCGGGUGAAUAGAGAAGCGAGACUUAUGAGCCUCCUCUAGAACAAUCUGUCUGACCCCACCAGACAUCAGAACCUAGACCCAACCGCAACGGGUCAACAAUCUGCGACUAUCCUGCACAAAUCGGGUUUUCUCGCCCCUGAUCCUCUCAAGCAUCCAAUUCUCUUGUCGCAUAUCCUCAGCCUGAGCUUCCCUAAUCAAGCUCACGAGUGGAGAAUCCAUAUAUAUACUCAUACAUGUAUCUGGAAUAGAAGAUCCAGCCGACUUGCGGCUUAGGGCGUCCACAACCAUAUUCUCUUUACCAGUAUUGUAAAGGAUCUCGUAGUCUUAAUCCUUGACUACAUGCAGCCACCUGCGUUGUCUCAUGUUCAGGUUCGUCUGAUACAUGAUGUGUCUCAGACUCAUGUGGUCCGUGUAUAUGGUAUAGUAGACCCUACACUACUAGAAAAACAACCUUUUACGACGUGCAAUGGGUGUCAUAAGACACUCAGACGACGCGCAAAUGCAUGUCAAGGAAGGCCCUGUCAUAACGAGAGACGACACGCUUUUGUGCGUCGUCUAUUUACGACGCGCAUUUGUGACACACAUUUACGACGCGUGGUUAUGACACGCAAUGCGUAUCAAGGAAAGCCUUGUCAUAAAGGAAGACGACAUGCAUUUGUGUUUCGUAACCUUAUGACGCGCGUGUUUAUGACACACAACGCGUAUUAAGGAAGCCCCUGUCAUAAAUGAAGAUGACACGCAUUUACGUGUCAUAAACUUCCGUAACCAUUUACGAUAUGCAUUUACGACGCGUCUUUACGAUACUUAUUCACACAUAAUACAAAAAUAUGUAAACAAAUAUAUACUAAAGCAAUCAAUUUCAUCCAAUAACAUCAUGUCAAAAAAUUGUAAUACAUUAUAAUUAAAGGGAUCUAAUGGUACAUUGUUAUUAAGAGGUUUUCCCUAACUAUAUAACCUAAUACUACAUUGGUAUUAAAGGACACCUUCUUGUUUCUACUUCUUAUUGUUAUGCUUCUAUUUCCACAUGAUACUUGUUUUCAUCAUCAACACAUUAGUAUUCAGAAAGUCUUCAAGCAUCCUCAAUCUGUGUUAUAAAAUAUUCAAAUUUAAUGAACAUGUAGUAAAAUACCUUUUACUAACCAGGCUUCAAUACAUCCAAUACCUGUAUAAAAUAUUAAAAUUUAAUACACAUGUUGGAUUAUAAAGGUUAAUAUGAAAGAGUGAAAUAGUAAAAUAUCUUUUGACAGUUGUCAUUGCAGCAAUUCAAUACAACCCAUACCUCUAUAAAAUAUUAAAAUUAAGCUUGGAGCGAUACUCUAGACAAAAGGAUAACUUUGAAGCCCCCAUAAACUUGCAUACCUGUUUUCAAGAGAAUUUAUGUAAGAAAGAAGAAUAUAAUUCAAGUUUCCAAUAUAAAAUAUCAGUUACCUCUCUGGAUACAAAAUAUAAGUUACCUCUCCGAAAUUGACAAUGUCCUAAGGAUAGAUAAUGUGGUAAUUUGAGACAAAAAGGUCCUUAACAGAGAAAGAAAAACUAGUCACUAGUCUCUACCUACUGAAUGAAAUACAAAACAUAACAACGAAUUAAGGGAUGAUACACUUCCAGAGGGGGGCAUCCAGCUAUCAGAGUAAUCCUAAUAUAAGAAAAACUGCCAUCCAGCUAUCAGUACUAGAAAUAUCUAAAUUCUUGGUUUUUGCAGCUUCUAGAAGCUACCCAUUAAACUCAACUCCAACAAUACCAGCUAAAGUGCCAACUGUAUUUGAGACACCUAUCACAAUUCCAACAUAUCUAGGAGUAAUAUCCAUAUGAUUGACACCAAAUCCAGCUCUUCCUAAUGCAAGAAAAUCAAGAACCACUGAAGAACAAAGUAUCACCCCUUAAGUUGUUCUAAAAAGAGGAAGCAACAUUAAUGAGACUGCAGACACUAAACACCCUACAGUACUCAAAACCUUUCUUGUAUUUGUCACAAUUAAGAUUCUCUUUGUUACCAUGUGGUCAACAACAAGCCCACCAAUAAUUUAAAAAACAAACAUGUUCAGAUGUGGCAGCAUUUUAGAAGAACCCAUUUCUCAAGUUGAGCAAACUAUAAAAAAAAAAGUAAUAAAAUAAAUGAGUUAUAUCCUCAUAAUUAUGAACAAGAGAGCAACUAAGAAAGAGAAAUUGAAAUUAAAAAAUAGACCUAAAUGAACCUGAAACCUUUACAAUGAUUCGUCUUAGGAUCCGUUGGGAGCUAGACCAGCUCCAUUAUGUUACAAGACCCUACCAAUUUUUUAAUAUAGCGAUUAAUUCAUUUUUUAUUGAUCCUAAUAAUAUUAGAAUAAAAAACUUCAUUUGUAGUUAUUUUAUAGAAAAUGAAGUUGACUUGAAUAAAAUCUAUGAUUUUUUAAAAGACUUGCUAUUAUGAAAAUUUACAAAUAAAAAUUUGGUUACUUUAAAAUCUUCAUUCCAUUCCUUGAUAAAAAACAAAUGAGAAAAAAACACCCCCUUGAAUAAGGAAUGAAAAGAAUCAGAAUUGUUCAGAAACAACCAUUCCAUUCCAUCAAGUAAAAGAACUGGAUUAUUCCAUUCCAAUGGUAAAAACCAUUUCAUUAAUUUUCCAAUUCCAUCAUGAUCAUACCAAACACAAUCUAGCAGAAAAAAAUGAGGAAAAGUUACAUUUGUAUCUUGUGUUUUUCAGGCCUAGGUAAUGACCUCAAGUAAACUUCUUUCAACAAACAUAUACCUCAAAUAUCAUUCAACUACAAACACAUUAUCAACAUUCAAAUUUCAUUAUAAAAUAUUUUGAAAAAAUUAAAAUCCAUGAAUCUUUAGAUGAGGAAAAAGGGUUCAAGAAAAAGGAGAGAAGAAAACAAAAAAUUAAACAACCUCAAGUAAACUUCUAUCAAUCACACUUUUUUCUCUGUGCUUCUUUUACAUCGUGCAUCUGUCAUCUGUUCACAUAUAAUAAAAAAACAUCAACCAAAGUUUCAUUUAAUUAAUUUAUUUAUUUUUAAAAAACACCAAAUUAAUAGAAAGAAAGAAAUAUUACUUGGACUUGAGCAUCUUCUUCAGGCUCUUUACUUCCUAUCGCUUUUUCCUGAAAAGAAAAUUUUAGUCGGUUGGUUGGUUGGUGACAUGUUUGGGAUUUUUGUCACACCCCCGAACCAGACGGCGGAAACGUCCGAGGGCUCGCGUGACUUAAAUUGAAUAUCAUCACAAUGAAUAUACAUGAAUCAUAACAUAAACAUCACCAUGCAUCAAUAUAUUACAACUAAUAUUGUUCACAUCAAGUACAUUGUUUUAACAUUAAAAAUCCAUACAUAAAUUGUUUGAUAGUUUUCAAAAGUAAAACACACUAACAUACUUGGUACUUACUCCUCAGCUUACCUAUUACCUAAGAAUACAAGUUAUUUUGAAAAACGGUCAACAUAUGGAAUGUUGGUGAUUUCAUAAGUAGGUUUGGUAUGAAAUUGUUUUGUGUAGUUUGAACGAAAACAACCUAGAAAAUCGGAUAUUUUCUAAAAAGACCAGUGUUUAUAAAAAGUGUGAAGAUCCGUAAAUAUAUGCAUGAUGAUUUCAAAACAUGUAUAAUUAAAAAACUUUGUAUUAAGCGUGCAAGUGAAAUUUUUUGAACUUCCCUAGAAAACUCGAUGUUUUCCAAAAUAAAAAUAUCAUAUAACGGUUUGAAUUGGUAUCCCAUCAUGUGAAUGAUUUUGAAUUACCUUGAUUACUUGNUUAUGUGGUUCGAUAUACUGAGUUCACUAUAAACAAUGCUCUGAUACCAAUCUGUCACACCCCCAAACCAAGGAUGGCGGAAACGUUCGAGGGUGGAGGACUUCAUGUAGAGUAUCACAACAACGAGUAUAAUAGUGCUCAAAGUAAAUACAACCAUCAUAAAUAUAACUGAAAAAGUUACACCAAAGUAUAUGUUUACAUGAUUCGAAUCUAUUACAUUAUGAAACAAAAUGAACUGUUUGACGAUUUAUCGUCCCAUCCUCAAAACGUUGUUGGUUUCUUGUUUUCACUGAAUUCCUGAGAAUACAAGUAGUUUUGAAAAGUGUCAACACAAAGGUUGGUGAGUUCAUAAGAGAUUUUAUUGGAGAAAUAGACCAUUUUCCUUGUAAAAAUGAUAUGAUAUGUAUUCAGAAAAUCCGAUAUUUUCUUUAUAAAGUUUAUGUAAUGUAGUCUCAUAACCGAUGACCAAAAUGUAUAAGUAACCUUUCUUAUUAAAGGAAGAUAAAAUGUGCUUAAAUUGACAUAAACGCACUUGAAUUAAAUGAUGUUCCCGAAACUUCUAUUGUAUGUUAAUACUUGAUGUAUAUGUAGUCCUAAGUCUUAGGACCGAGAAAAUAACAAGUAUCGCCUAUACUUAAAGCUAUAAAUGUGGUUUCAAAUGAUGUGUAGACAUAAAUACCAAAAAACGAAUGUAGACAGUAAUAUCGGUACUUAUUGAGAUAAAAGUGAUUUUAAAAUCGACAUAAAAACCCAUUAAAGUUUUAUAAAAACCCCGUAAACUUUGUGUAUUGUUAUAUCCUUAUGUGAGCCGCUAUAAUCAUACUUAAGACUAAUGAACCUGCCACGACGUUUCUCAGGCGUCGAAUAACUGAAAUGACAAUUAUCACCCGUAGACCUGCAGGUCCAACUGUAGCUAGCAGCAAGGUGUGGGGUGUCAAUCCCAAUAUAGAUCUAUAUACAACUAUCACGUUCUCCAUCCGGGAGACUCUGAUUAUAACGUACAGGAUUUUAUAUUCCGCACGCGGACGUACGGAAAGAGAAUGUCUCACAAUCUAGGUUAACAAGUUUACAAGUUGUAUGCGGGAGUGUAAAACCUUUCUGUAUGAAUGUACCCCUUUUCGUACGUGUGUGUUAUGUGAUGUAUCGAAAACUAUACCUAUUAUAGUUUUAUCCAAAACGUUUGUAAUAUAUAAGAACUCUUUUAUGAAAAAGCGUUAGGAUUAUGAAAUCCAUUAAACUAUGCUUAUUAUAGUUUAUAUAUAUACAUGUUCUAAAUGAAUGAAUAAUCUUAUCAUGAAUGACUUAUUUUCAGUUUAUGAUGAUAAAAUUUACAACGUAUCACAUUCAAUACUUAGAACUUGACCUUAUACACUUUGCUCAACAUAAUACAAAGUGUUGUAAAAAUUACAAGCUGUUAACAAAUUUUCAGCCUUCCUACACUGUUUUUGAAAAUUUAUAGAAAAAUCAUACGAAGUCGAAAACUAAAUCCGUAAAUUCUGGGAGUUUCCAAAAUGUGUCUAGUUUACUCAUAAUUUUUAUCAUGAUUUUUAAUGACCUGUAACCUAGGUGAAAAAGUCCAUAAUCACAGACUGGUCCGGAUUGGUGUUUGAAAUGAUAGGCAGUUUUGUAAAAAUCACCAUAAAUUGUAGAAAAAUCGUAUGGAGAUGUGCAAGUAGUCAUUUUAAAGCUAAGAAGUGGAACUACAUGCACCUAAAACAGUUUUGAAAACUAAAAUGUUUAAGGUGUCCAAAACAGUCCGUGAAUGGAGUCCAACUUUUCUGAUGAAAGCUGUUAGAAAAUUUUAGUUAUGUUCUUGGUGUUUUAACUUGUAUUCCCCCCCUAAAAACUUAAGAAAACAUGAAAAUGUAGGGGUAUGAACUCACCUUGUGUGAUUUCAGUAGAUAAGUGUUGAAGAAGAGAAGUGUUCAACCCAAGAACACUUGAAGAAUCGCUUGAAGAUUCGAAGCUCUAACACAAAUAUAAUGGAGUUUGUGUAAGAUACCCAUGAUUUGAGUGGAAAUAAUUGAGAUAAUCUUAAAGGAAAUGGAUUAUGCUUACCAAAGGUGGAGGAAACUCUCAAGAUCAGCCCUUGAAUCUCGGAUUUCUAGAGAGAGAAAGUGAGAGAGAAAGGAGUUUGAUCUUCUUGUGAAAUGAGAACAAAUGAGAGAAAAUGAGGAGAGAGGAUGAAUAUCCAGCUCUCAAAAACGUGGGAAGGAGUGAUGAUUGAGUGGAAAGGACAUUGAUGUGACUUAGGUAAGGUGGGGAGGUAUGGCUGGUCAUAGAGUGGGUGUGGGAGUGGUUGCUUGUGUCAUAAAGUAAAGCAAAGUCAACACUCCUCCUAUUUGUACUUUUACCCACUUGCUUUUAUUAUUUAGAUAGAGAUUUUUAUGAAUUUAUGAUUAAAUUGUGAAUAUUUAGGGUUUAUUAUGUUAAAAUAUGAUUUUGGGUGAAAACCCCGCGUUAAAAUAAUUAAAAACGGGCCUUAAACGCAAAACUACGCGAAAACCGGGAGAAAAAUGUGUUCCCAGCGAGACCUCUCGGUCCUAGGCCGAGGUUCGGUCCCUAGGCCGAGGUUCGGUCAGGAGGGUGCAUGGUUCGGAAGCGAAGGCGCGAGCCAGAAGAAAGAAGCGAAGCGAGGCUGGUCCGAAGAGAAGCAGUCCGAGGCGAAGGCAAGGGGGUUCGGUCCGAAGUCUGGCUAGAACCGAAGGUACUGUUGUGAACAGUAAUGAACAGUACUUUCGGUUCGGAUUUUUCCUUCUUGCAUGGUUCGGUUCGGACCUCCUUCAAUGCCGGGUUCGGUUCGGAUGAACAGUGGUUUCGGUUCAGCUCAUGAACAGUACUUUCGGUUCAGACCCUCAUGAAUAGUGCUUUCGGUUCGGUUCAUGAAUAGUACUUUCGGUUCGGAGGGUUCGUUUCUUAAGUCCGUUUUUCGCGUAGACUUCCAUUCUUGGGCUAUUUUUCGCCAAUUUCGAGGGUCGGGAUGCCCCGAGUGAUUAUAGAAAGUCGGGGAGAGAUUUCGAGAGAGAUUUGAGAGAGAUUCCUCGUUCUCAGAGAGAUUUGGGAGAGAUUUGACGUACUUGGAGAGAUUUCACAUACAAAGAGAUACGUGAGAGAGAUUUCACAUACUUAGAGAGAUUUGGGAGAGAUUUGACAUACUUGGAGAGAUUUCACAUACAGAGAGAGAUUUGGGAGAGAUUUCACAUACUUAGGGAGAUUUGGGAGAGAUUUGACAUACUUGGAGAGAUUUCACAUACAGAGAGAGAUUUGGGAGAGAUUUCACAUACUUAGGGAGAUUUGGGAGAGAUUUGACAUACUUGGAGAGAUUUCACAUACAGAGAGAGAUUUGGGAGAGAUUUCACAUACUUAGGGCUUUGGGAGAGAGAUUUGACAUACUUGGAGAGAUUUCACAUACGGAGAGAGAUUUGGGAGAGAUUUCACAUACUUAGGGAGAUUUGGGAGAGAUUUGACAUUCUUGGAGAGAUUUCACAUACGGAGAGAGAUUUGGGAGAGAUUUCACAUACUUAGGGAGAUUUGGGAGAGAUUUGACAUUCUUGGAGAGAUUUCACAUACGGAGAGAGAUUUGGGAGAGAUUUCACAUACUUAGGGAGAUUUGGGAGAGAUUUGACAUUCUUGGAGAGAUGUGGGAGAGGUUUCACAUACUUAGAGAUAUGUGGGAGAGGUUUCAUUGGUGACCUUUUUGAGUGUCCGGCUACGCACUGCAAGGUCCUUAAACCCCGUUAAGCCUUGAUUAGGGAUCUUGCAUACUCCCGGUGAGUAUGUAACAUUGUUUUAUCGGUUUGGCUCUCCACGUACCACCGUUUUAGGUUAAGGAGAUUUAGGUGAACGCACUUUUCGAUUUAUGAUCUCUCAUUAGAAUAGAGAGUUGUUUAGAAGUUAUGCAACGUAAACUCUAGUACUCACGACAAAUUGGGUUGACCGGUUUGACUUGUUGACUUUUGUUGACUUUGACUUGACCGAAAAUUGACGGUUGUCAUAUAGUUUGUCUGUCUUAGCAUUCUGGUGAACGUCGGAAUUAAUCUUAAGAUUUGUCACCCUAGACUGGCCGAGUUUAACUGUCGCGAAGAGCUGAGGUGUGGGGGAGUCACCCUCAUAUAGAUCUAUACACAAACUCUCGCUCUCCCUCCAGGAGACUAUGAUUAUAACUACAGACUGUGACCGACACACGUUGGUGUCACCCAUUAUUACUCACUAAAUCCCAAUUGACUUGAUUACUAUAGAUUAUCGACCUGUAUUUGUUUACUUGGACCUUACUAGCAGUAAAAACGCGCCACUAAGGCCCAAUAGCAUUUAAAAGACAUUGAGGGUCCCUUAAAUAUUAAAUUUGGUCGUAGGAGGCGCAAUAACAUUUAUUAUUAUUCCUUGGGCUCAAAAUCAUGUUAGUGGGUCACAAAGGCCCAAUAGACAUGAUUGGACUUGCAAGCCCAAAGUUUGGAUUGUUUACUUUUUUUUAGGAAUUGUAUAAUUGUUGGAAGGUUUGAUUGGACGAUUGUUAUUUUGGAUCGGCACAAGGUCGCUCGGUUGUUGUUAAUGAUUUUUAGUAUUAUACAUAUAUUCAUCUUCAUGAGUUGUAGUUUUUUAUUUUUGAAUCAAACGUCUUAAUACUAAAAGAAUUGAUUCAAAAUAUUGGUUUGACCCAUUUCAGCCCUUCUUUAAUAAAGAUGACAAUUUUAGUCCCUUAUAUAAAAAAAGGCAUUUUAGCCCCCUUAAACCAUUUUCUGGACACAUUUGACCCAUAGACUUGUUCAAGUGAUAUUUUGGCUCAAAACUUAUUCUUUGGUAGUUUCAGCCCUUCCAGAAAAGUAUUUUUCAGUUAAAUUCCAAACUUUUUGCAACUUUUACAAUUUUGGCCCAAAAUCCAAACACUUUACAUUUUUGAUCCUUUUUGGCAAAGAAAAGCAUUUUAACCCUUGAAAUAAUUUUGUUUAACUCUUUAUCCCCUGUUUUGAGGAAUUUAUCAUUUCAUCCCUUUGAAAAUCAUGUUUUUCGCAACUUUGGGAUUAAUGGGCCAAAAAGCCCAAAAAUUGGCCCAUUAAGCUAAUAUUUACAUUUCAAGUCCUUUGAAGAGCAUAAUUUUCAUAAAAACAUUUAUUUUAACUGUUUUGACUCUUUUGACCCUCAAGAAAACCAUGAAUGGCAACUUUUCACCCAACUUUUGUUUAUUUGACAAUUUAAGCCCUAAAAAUAGGUUUUAUGUUACAAUAUGUUGAUUUUAAAUCUUAGAGGGUGUUUUUCUUGACUUGUUUAGUGUAGCAUACCGUAGAUAAUGUUUUUUUCCUUAUUAUGUCAUAGACCUCGAGAUUUCUAUCAUUUUUGUUUACAUAUUCAACACAUGAGCACAUAAAUUCACACAUACAUACAUGAAAUCAUACAUAGCAUACACAUAUACAUAGAUCUACACAUUUUACUUGUAUUCUCCCCCAUAAAACUUGUAAAAACCGAAAAGAGAGGGGUAUGAACUCACAUUUGCUUGUUGAUUUCGAUUUGAAGAAGAAAGGGAAGAAGUUUGAUGCUAUUUUCGGCCCUUAGCAAGCUUUCUUGGGUGGAUCUCGAACUUAGAGGAUUCUAAGAUGAUGAUCAUGAGUUUAUAUGAGUUAAGAAGAGAUUUUUGAUAGAACAAAGAGUCUAGAUUAUGGAUCCAAGCAUCAACAUACCUAAGAUGAUGAUUUUUGUGGAAUAACCUUCUUGAAAAGCUCUAGAUCUCGAAAAUUUUGAUAGAGAAAUGAAGAAGUUGUUGUGAGCUCUUGAGAAAUGUUUAAGUGAUAUUUUGGGUGUGGGUUUUUCCCUUUUGGCCGAGGAUUAAGAAGAAGAAGAAGGAGAGAGAGAGAGAGAGAGAGAGAGAGAGUUGCAUGGAUGUAUGGGAAGGUGCAUGGAAAUCCAUAAGAUAAUAAGGAGGUGGAUAACCCUCCUUAUUUCACUAGUUUCUCCUUUUUUUGUUUUCUUCUUGGGCCGAGAAAAGAGAGAAAAAGGAAAGAUUUUGGGCCCUUUUGUGCUUAAGUCCAUAUCAUGGGCCCAUCUUGAUGAUUUUCGGCCCAUUGGCCCUUUUUGAGAAAUUUACGGCCCAAUAUCCAUCAAGUAUGAUUUUUUAUGGCCCAUUAGGGCUAAUUAGGUUAGUUAUGGCCCAAUAAGGUCCAUUAAGGUAUUUUAUUUCAUUCUAGGCCCAAUAUGGCCCAAAAUAUUAAAAUAAAUGGAAGUGGGUCCAAAUAGAUCUUAUUUAAGAGUUCUAAGCCCAAAAUAGUCAAAUUGGAAGCUUAUUGGCCCAUUAGGCACAAUAAGGAAAUUCUAGUCCAUAAUGGACUUAAACUGGGGUUUCUAGGGUUUCCAAUUAUUUGUUGAUUAUUUGCAGUGCUUGUAUAAAGUGUUUGAUGGAAGUUUUGAUGUUAUUGAAUUAGCAUCGUACAUGCUUUCACAUUUUUGGUUCACAAUUGUUAUCAUUGUUGUUGUCACAUGGUAUAGAAUUCCUAGUUGUGACAUCAUCCCCCCGUUAGAGGGAAUUUCGUCCCGAAAUUCUUUCUAAAGCUAGAUUUGAGAAUGCGAGAACAGGUGAGGGUACUUCUGCUUCAUCUGGUCUUCGCAUUCCCAUGUGAGUUCUGGCACACGCUUCGUGUUCCACCGUACCUUCACAAUCGGAAUGCGACUUUGCUUAGCACGCUUCACCUCCCUAUCCAUGAUUUCGAUUGGUUCUUCGACGAACAAGAGAUUCUGGUUGAUUUCGAUUUCUUCAAGGGGAAUGACGAGGGUUUCAUUGGUUAAACACUUUUUCAAAUUGGAAACAUGGAACACCGGGUGUACACUGCUGAGAUCAGCGGGUAGCUGCAAUCUAUAAACCACUGGACCGAUUCGGGCAAGAAUCUCGAAAGGUCCGAUAUAUCGUGGAUUCAACUUUCCCUGUUUUCCAAAACGAAUAACCCCUUUCCAAGGACAGACUUUUAACAGCACCCGAUCCCUGACUUGAAACUCCAAGGGCUUCCGCCGUUUAUCAGCGUAGCUCUUCUGUCGAUCACGUGAUGCUCGUAAUCGAGCUCUGAUUUGAACUAUCUUUUCCAUCAUUUAACGUAUGAUAUUGUUGGAUUAUUGUCUAAGUCCAUAACUACAAUUAGUAAGACUUGACCCGACCCGGCAUGGUCAAUUUGGGUUGAAUGGCAUCAUGCAUUUGGAUAGACUAAAAUGAGAGAAAUAACACUUAAGGUUUGUUAGUAUAUUAUAAAUUCUAAUAUAUUAAUAAGGUUAUUUAAUUAGUAUUGAUCAAGAAUUAAUUUGGAAUUAAUUAAGUGAUCAAAAGGAGACUAAUUAAAUAUAUGGGUUGAUUGUGUAAAUCAUUCAUUCUUAUAUAUGUGGGCUUGUGAUCCAAGAUUCCUUAUGUUGGACUAAGUCCAUAGGGUGACCCAUGGAUGCUCCAUGGAGGUUAAAAUCCAUGGAGCAUAAGGAAUGGGUAAAGUCAUGAGUUACAUGGUGUAACCCUAAUAGCCACCAUAUAAAAGAAUCCCAUGGCUCAAGAAAUCGUGAACUAUGUGUGAGUGUGAGGGCUAAACGGUUUCAUGGAGUGUUCAAGUUUCUCUCAAGUUAUUCCAAGGGUAUUUGGUGUUGUGUGAACCAUUUGAGGUGUCACACUUGGGGCAAUAGGCACUCAAGCUUCAUGGCGACUUUCUACAUUAAGAGGUAUGUAUUCUAUCUUGUUGUAUUCGAUGUUUUGUAUGCUAGAUUAGGAUAAUACCUUGGAUGUUCAUAUUUGCAUUUAUAAUUGAGAAAACAUAGAUCCAAGGUAUUUAAGGUUGCAUGUACACUUAGGAGUGUUAGAAUUCUCAAAACCCAACAGUGGUAUCAGAGCCACGAGUUGUUUUCAGUUAUAUUGAUGCAAAUAUUUUAUUUUCAAAGUUGAAAAAAAAAAGAAAAAAAACAUGAAGCUUGUCAAAUUUUAAGAUAAUUACUUGUUCUUGUGAAAAACUAAUUAUUUGUAAAAUUUGAAUAAUUUGCUUUAUGAGUUGACUUAGGUCAAAUUUAAUAAAAGAUAAAAUGAUAUGAUUAUUUUAUUAGUUUUAAAAUUUUGAUCUAAAGAGUUUUAUUUUUUGAAACCUCCAUAAGUUAUGGAUAUGAAAAGGUUUUAAAAAAAAAAUUGAUUCAAAGUUUUUUUGGAGUUACAAAAUUUGGUGUUAAUGUUUUAAAGGAUUCCAUAACUUAAGAAUAAGUUAUGGAUCACCAAAAGUUUUUUGUGUUACCUUGUUUUAUGAGUGAAUUUAGAUUAAUGAAUAAAAUUAUGUGAUAGUUGGUUUUAAUCCAAAUUAAUCUAAGAAUUGAUUCUAAAAUGUGUUUUUGUAACUUGUCCUCAAGUUAUAUGAAAAGUCACAUUUAAGAAUCAUAAAACUCAUAAAAAUUGGCAAAGGUUACAAAAAUGAAGAGUCUAGUUCUAAUUAAAUGGUUUUAUGACUCCAUAACUUGUCCUCAAGUUAUGGAGGACCAAGAGUCUCUUCAUUUAAUAAAAUAAAAUAAAAAAAAAAAAAGUGUAACCUUAAUUAAUUCCAUAAGUUAUAAAAUAAAGAAAAGUUAAUUCUUUUAUUAGUUUAAAGUCUUCCAUAACUUGUCCUCAAGUUAUGGAACUUGAAGAGUUUUUGGAUUAAAACUACUUUAAACACAUAAGUUAUGGAAUUAAUUAGUUUUGAAUAGUUUCAAAACUUGCCCUCAAGUUUUGGAAUUUGUAAAGUUUUCACUUAUGAAUACUUUAAUUCCAAGUUAGCCCUUAGAAUUUUAAAAGUUAAAAUUCAACCCUUAUACUUUAUAAUAUUAUAAGUUAAUAAUAUAUAUAUGUAUAAGAGUAAAGUCAGUCUUACCGCUAGUACGCCUCAUUCACGAAGCCGGUCUAUAAGGUGGGUAUAAGGUUGUUGCCUAUAAAAUGGCAACUUAAUGGGUGUCCACUCUCACCCACCGCUUGCUUGACUGGUGGAGGGUCGUUAGCCGAACGGGUUUGACAGGACUAGAAUUCUCCCUUCAUUAAAAGUAUUAAUGAUAAUACUAAGUAACUAAACUCUUAAUAAUACCCAAUCUUAGUUACUUAGGAAAAAUGUGAAUAAGGUGCUAAUCCAUGAAAUUACACUUUACACUUUGUCUAAGUCGUUAGUGGAGCGUGUGUGGUUAACCGGCACACUAACUUGGACUUAACAAGGUAGGUAAAGGGUGACUUAAUAUUUAUCAUAGUAUCGAUGGAGCGUGUGUGGUUAACCGGCACAUCGAUUGAGGGGUAAUUUAUUAAGGGUACCAAGUGAUUUGCAUGGUUACUUCACACCUUGUUUUGUGAUCCUCGGCAUCCCAGUCACAAAACCUGAAGGGCACACUCGAGAUUGAAACAUGCCUUUGAAAAGUUCAAUGAAUCUCAAAGAUCUAGGAGUUUCAAAACCAAUUAAAACCUAAUAAUACAUUUCGUUUAUCUUGGUGGAAAUUGGUGAAUCGUCAUUCACCUACCUUCAAAUAUUUUAUAGCUUGGAUUACGGCAUCCCUCUUCUAAGUUAUAAAAUAGUUUGUUGGGUCCUAGCCUUAAUAUUUCAUAUUGGGUGUCAUAUUAAGGACUUAAGAUCAACUAUCUUGAAUAUCCCCAAAAAGAUGUCUGGUUUAGACAUUUAUGAUCUUCCUAAAUCUCUUGAAACAAGCUUUCCUAAAUGAAGAUGAUGUCCCAUGGAAGUCAUACUUCUUUCACCUCCUCCAAUUAUUCUCCCUAACCCACAAGUUCUUGAAAAUUUUAAGGUCACUCAAGCCCUAUUGGCAAGCAAAGGUCUAUGUGUGAUCACAUCUUGGAGAUGUAGUCACAUAUUGACAAGCCGGGAGAGUUGGGUGUCAAAGUGUUGAGAAAGUUGGUGCCUCAACUACUUUCUAAGUCACAUAGUGAGUUCCUUUGGGACUCCUAUGAAACAGACUAUGACAAGAACCUUAAUGAUCUUAUCUAUUUGCUAAGAUCAACUUCCUAAAACUUGUGGACAUUGACAAUAAUGACAUUGGAUAUCCAAUAAAGCUCUCUCUUCCCAAUGGAAAGGGACCGGCCAUAGUCAACUUGGCUGACCAAAUGGUAAAGAGAGGCUAAGUCUGAGAUAGUCCCAUUAUCAAGGGUCCAUAGGUAACUAUUGACAAAGGAAGGGGCAUUGGUUGCGAAGCUUCCAAAUUUACCUAAGGAUGUUAAAGUCAAUAAGUUUGGCUCUACUUCAGGUAAAGUCCAUUGUCUAACUCUACUAAGUACAUGCUGAUUCUAAUCGCGAAGAUGGAUUUCAAUCGCAUGGUUCGGUGAUCAGAAUUUUGGGCUAUUACCUAAGAGUUAUGAUAUUUAUAUUGCUUAGGAAUAGAUAACAACAAGGUUUUCAUAUGGAUUGUAAGGAUAAGUUUUCCGCAAAGUUUUAAAUUAAAAGAAAAAGGUUUUGAUUUUAUUUAUCUUAAGUAUCCUUACAAUGGCAUUUGUGAAAAGUUGUUGCUUAUAAGAUUCCACUGAUAGCAAUAUUGGAAAGUGAAUUUCAUUCUUUCAUUUGUGGUAGUGUAUAAAUUUACCAAAUAAGGAAAUAUUCUCAUCACCCAAGUUUCAGUUGGAUAGAAACUUGGAAUCAUGCAAGUUGUAUAGCAUGAUGAAUGAGAACUUUAAAGCAUUGAAAAAAAUUAAGACUAACUACUUGUUCACAUGGAUGUGUGAGUCAAGUGAAGGACUAAGGGAUCGAGUACAGAUUAUUGUGCACUGGUCAAGUCCACCACAGCAGAUCGAUAUGACUAUUCGUCAUGGUUUACUAAAGCUCAGUAAAUAUGAUUAUAAUUACAAGCUUAAGUGUAUCUCUGAGACAUUGGAAAAGGUUCCAAUGUAUGGCAGAGCGAAUAAGAAGAAUCAAAUUAGGCAGAAGGAUAAAAGUUUUUGAAAUCUGAAAAGAUGGGAGAGUACUUUAGUAUCAGUUUUGUGAUCAUCUUAGUGAUUAAGAAACCAUAGCACAAUUAGUUCUCCAAUGAAAUCUUAGUGCAUUCUUAUGACUAAGACGAGGAAUCUUGAAUAGUUGAAAUGGUUAAAUCAAGAAAAUGAGUCAUACUUCGUUCCAAUACAAGUCUUAGACUCAUACUCCAAGAUUGUAAUUUGAGUGACAUGUCUUAAAGAAGGUUUAAAACAUUUGUCAAAUGUAAGAGUAAAAGUUUCCUACUCUUAUACAUUUGAAAUUGGUAAGUUGUGAUGUUUUGGAUAAAACAAAGACCAACUAAGGCCAAUUAUGUGAAGUGUUUGUCUUGAUUAGAAUCCACACUAUCUCUUGGAUAUUUGACAAGGGAGUCUUAUAGGUCAAGAGGACAGUGGGAGUCUUAAAGGUCUUGAAAGUCUCAAGAACUAAUCAAGAAUAAAACCUGAAGUUCUUCACUAGCACACGACUUGAGGUUUAUAACCUAUCAUGUUGGCAUAUUUUGUGCCCAUUCCAGUUAAAGUUGGUUGUGCAUAUGAUUUUUUAGAGUUCUCAAUUGGUUGCACAACAACUUGGAAGCAAUGGCAGGCCCUUGAGCUGCUAGGUGGCAAGAAAUUAAGAUUGAGUUCAAUCCAUAUGAGUUUGGAUUUGUCAUUAUCCUUGUCUUGUGAUUAUGGUUUUGACAAAUUCAUAUGGGUAGGAACUCAUACACCAUAAAAAUCUAAGUGUCAUAAGGUUUCUCUCCGAUUCAUGAAAAUGAUGGUGAGGAAACACUUUCACUAAGUAGAUUUUAGCUAGAUAGCAAUUGUGAUAUUUGCAUUCUCAAAGUCGUUAGUGGAGCGUGUGUGGUUUACCGGCACACUAACCUGGACUUGUGAGAAGUGGCAAAAAGGUCUAACCAUUAUGAUUACGGCAUCCCUCUUCAUAAUUGUUUAGACACACAAGUGUGCUAUCUAAGGGAAGGUGUAUGAUUUUGAUAAAGUUUUAUCAAAACAAUCUAG